GACGAACGCUGGCGGCGUGCUUAACACAUGCAAGUCGAACGGAAAGGCCCUUCGGGGUACUCGAGUGGCGAACGGGUGAGUAACACGUGGGUGAUCUGCCCUGCACUUUGGGAUAAGCCUGGGAAACUGGGUCUAAUACCGAAUAGGACCACGCGCUUCAUGGUGUGUGGUGGAAAGCUUUUGCGGUGUGGGAUGGGCCCGUGGCCUAUCAGCUUGUUGGUGGGGUAAUGGCCUACCAAGGCGACGACGGGUAGCCGGCCUGAGAGGGUGACCGGCCACACUGGGACUGAGAUACGGCCCAGACUCCUACGGGAGGCAGCAGUGGGGAAUAUUGCACAAUGGGCGCAAGCCUGAUGCAGCGACGCCGCGUGAGGGAUGACGGCCUUCGGGUUGUAAACCUCUUUCACCAGGGACGAAGCGUAAGUGACGGUACCUGGAGAAGAAGCACCGGCCAACUACGUG
rnacentral:rRNA from 1 species